GUCAAGGGGACUUUUUAGUCACCGGCGUACUGCUCAGUAACACGUGGAUAAUCUGCCCUUGGGUGGGGUAUAGCCUCGGGAAACUGAGGGUAAUUCCCCAUAGGUCAGGAUGGCUGGAAUGCUUCCUGACUAAAAGCUCCGGCGCCCAAGGAUGAGUCUGCGGCCUAUCAGGUUGUAGUGGGUGUAAUGGACCCACUAGCCAGUGACGGGUACGGGUCGUGAGAGCGAUUGCCCGGAGAUGGAUUCUGAGACAUGAAUCCAGGCCCUACGGGGCGCAGCAGGCGCGAAAACUUCACAAUGUGGGCAACCACGAUGAGGGAACUCCAAGUGCCAGCACAUUGUGUUGGCUUUUCUCAAACCUAAAUCGUUUGAGGAAUAAGGGCUGGGUAAGACGGGUGCCAGCCGCCGCGGUAAUACCCGCAGCCCGAGUGGUGAUCGUUAUUAUUGGGCCUAAAACGUCCGUAGCCGGUUCAGUAAAUCUCUGGGUAAAUCGACUGGCCUAACCAGCCGAAUUCCGGAGACACUGCUGUACUUGGGACCGGGUGAGGGUCGAGGUACUUCUGGGGGAGGGGUGAAAUCCUU
rnacentral:rRNA from 1 species